AUACGUAGGGGGCAAGCGUUGUCCGGAAUGACUGGGCGUAAAGGGCGUGUAGGCGGCGGUGUAAGUCUGGAGUGAAAGUCCCGCAUUCAAUGUGGGAAUUGCUUUGGAUACUGCAGUGCUAGAGUGCGGAAGAGGUAAGUGGAAUUCCCAGUGUAGCGGUGAAAUGCGUAGAGAUUGGGAGGAACACCAGUGGCGAAGGCGACUUACUGGGCCGUAACUGACGCUGAGGCGCGAAAGCGUGGGGAGCGAACAGGAUUAGAUACCCUGGUAGUCCACGCGGUAAACGAUGAAUGCUAGGUGUUGCGGGUAUCGACCCCCGCAGUGCCGGAGUAAACACAAUAAGCAUUCCGCCUGGGGAGUACGGCCGCAAGGUUGAAACUCAAAUGAAUUGGCGGGG
rnacentral:rRNA from 1 species